rnacentral:rRNA from 1 species
UACGUAGGAUGCAAGCGUUGUCCGGAAUUAUUGGGCGUAAAGAGCGCGCAGGCGGUAUGACAAGUCAGAUGUGAAAGAGGCCGGCUUAACCGGCAAGGGUCAUUUGAAACUGGUCAAGACUAGAGUGCAGCAGAGGAUAGUGGAAUUCCCGGAUGUAGUGGUGAAAUGCGUAGAUAGUCGGGAGGAACACCAGUGGCGAAGGCGACUAUCUGGGCUGCAACUGACGCUGAGGCGCGAAGGCUAGGGUAGCAAACAGG